rnacentral:lncRNA from 10 species
AAGGCCUUAAGAGGCACGGCAGUGUCCACCAAUACUCAGGGAGCUUACUCUCUCCAUGCAAAGAGCAGCCCCAGCUAUUGUAAAAGAGGUUCAGUUCCUGAUUUGAUUUUCAACUUGGUUGCUGUUGAUAUAUAGAAGAGCUACUGAUUUAAACUCAAAUCAACAAGAAAAAAACAUACAAUCUCAUCAAAAAGUGGUCUAAGGAUGUGAAUAGACAAUUCUCAAAAGCAGAUAUAUGAAUGGCCAACAAACAUAUGAAUAAAUGCUCAACAUCACUAAUAAUCAGGAAAAUGCACAUCGAAACCACAAUGCUAUAUCACCUUAUUCCUGCAAGAACGGUCAUAAUCCAAAAAUAAAAUAAUAGAUGUCAGCUUGGCUGUGGUGAACAGGGAACACUUCUACAAUGCUGGUGGGAAUGUAAACUAGUACAAACAUUACGGAAAACAGUGUGGAGAUUCCUUAAAGAACUAAAAGUAGGUGACCACUUAAUCCAGCAAUCCCACUACUGGGUAUCUACCCAGAGGAAAAGAAGUCAUACAAAAAAGAUACUUGCACACACAUGUUAAUAGCAGCACAAUUCACAAUUGCAAAUAUGUGGAAGUAACCCAAAUGCCAAUUAAUCAACAAAUGGAUAAAGAAGCUGUGGGGGGUGUGUGUGUGUGUGUGUGUGUGUGUGUGUGUGUAUGUAUAUGUGUGUGUAUAUAUAUGAUGGAAUACUACUAAGCUAUAAAAAGGAAUAAGUUAAUGGCAUUCACAGCAACCCGGAUGAGAUUGGAAUGGAAAACCAAACAUCAUAUGUUUUCACUCAUAAGUGGGAACUAAGCUAUGAGGAUAAAAAGGCAUAAGAAUGAUACAAUGGACUUUGGAGACUCAGGGGGAAAGGGUAGGGAGGGGUUGAGAGAUAAAAGACUACAAAGAGCAUGCAGUCCAUACUGCCUGGGUUAUGGCUGCACCAAUAUCUUAGAAAUCACCACUAAAGAACUUACUCAUGUAACCAAACACCACCUGUUUCCCAAUAACCUAUGGGGGGAAAAAAAACCUUAAAAAAAAAAAAAAAAGAACAAAGGCUCAGAUUAGAAAAAAUUCUUGCUUUUAAUACAGCUCUGUCAUUUGUUAACUUUGUGAUUAUUAGCAAGUUAUUAUAACCUUACUGAGUCUCAGUUUCCUCAUCCAUAAAUGUGGAGAGUGGGACCAAAUAAAAUAUGUAAAGUGCUUUACCCAAGGUCUGAUCCGUGGUAAAUAUCCAAUAAAUAUGUAUGUAUAUUUUAGUUAAAUUUUAAAUGAGAGUAAAAAAACUGGAUUUAUUUAUCUAAAUAAACUUCUUAGACA